CAUGCAUGUCUAAGUAUAAACGAUUUAAUCGUGAAACCGCGAAUGGCUCAUUAUAACAGCUAUAAUUUACUUGAUCUUGACACAAUCCUACUUGGAUAACUGUGGUAAUUCUAGAGCUAAUACAUGCAUUAAAGCUCUGACCUCACGGGAAGAGUGCAUUUAUUAGAACAAAACCAAGCGGCUUCGGCUGUUUCUGGUUGACUCAUAGUAACUGAGCUGAUCGCAUGGUCUUGCACCGGCGACGUGUCUUUCAAGUAUCUGCCGUAUCAACUUUCGAUGGUAGUGUAUCUGACUACCAUGGUGAUCACGCGUAACGGAGAAUAAGGGUUCGGCUCCGGAGAGUUCGCCUGAGAAAUCGCGAACACAUCUAAGGAAGGCAGCAGGCGCGAAAAUUACCCACUCUCAGCACGAGGAGGUAGUGACGAAAAAUAACGAGACCGUUCUCUUAUGAGGCCGGUCAUCGGAAUGGGUACAGAUUUAA
rnacentral:rRNA from 1 species